ensembl:lncRNA
CUGCGACGUGGUUGGCGUGCGGGUCCCGGUGCUGGCAGCCGGAUGUUGGGCGGCUCGGAUCGGCUGGGGGCGGCUGAAAGGCUGGCCCGGCGGGGCGGGCGGUUGGUGGUGAUGAGGGUUCGAGACCUGCAGUGCGGGAGAUCGAGAGGAAGCGGGACGCGGGGCUCCUUGUCCAAGGCUCCUAGCUGCGGCCGCGCUCAGAGCCCGGGCCUGGACCCUUUUCUGCCGAAGCUGGGUGUCACGGGUCACCAUGGGAACUGAAACAGCAGAUCAGAAAGCUGGUGCUAUCCGCACCUGUAAUCCCAGCGCUCCAGAGGCUGAGGCAGGAGGAUCACCGGAAUUUCCAGGGCUGCCUGGCCUGCAAAACAACAAAACCAAACCAGAAAACCCCCACCACCUACCACAAUGGCCCAUGAUUGAAUUCCUAUAUAGAUGAACAGAUUUGUCCACAAAUAAUGCACAAAUAUUUACAGCAAAAGAACAAUGACGACCACCCCGGGGUUACCCGUGUCCCAAUCCCCGGAACCUGAGAAUGUGUUGCCUGGCCUGGAGAAAGGGAUUUCAUUGAUGUGAUUAAAUCUCGGAUCUUGAGCUUGGAGAUGAUCCCGGAUUAUCUGACUGAGCCGGUGGAAUCGCAAGGACCCUACGGAGCCAGGCGGGUGUGUGUGUGACAGGUGACAGGAGAAGCCGGAGAGGAAGGGACAGGAGCUGUGGUGCCGCUGCUGGUAUAGCCACAGCAUUUGUGAAUCUCAAAACCUGUAGGUGGAAUGGAAGAAGCCUGGCAGAGUAUAUGCUGCAUGACUCAACUUAGAGAAAAAUCUAGAAAAUGGAAACUAAUCUGUAGGGAAGGCACCUCUUUCUUGGGACCAGGUAGUUUAUUGUGUAUAAACAAACAUCAAUGAAGUGUUUCCCCCACCCCUGUGCGUCUGAGCACCUUUGAACUGAGCUAUGUCCCAUCCCCACCUCUGUUUUAUCAUUUUGAAACAGUUAUGCAGUCUGGAACUUGCAGAUUGCCAUGAGCUCAAGACCAGCCUGGUCUAUGGGGCCAGGGAUUUAGCUCAGUGGUUUCACUGCCUCCGCAAGCACAAGGACCCGAGUUUGAUCCCUGGUACAAAAAAAUAAAAUGAAAUAAAAUAAAAAUCCUCCCCAGCCCAAGACUCCGCUUUAAGUGAAAAACUUCACCCGGGGCACAGAUUGGCCUUGAGAUGCUGGGUUGUAUAAUAUGAGGCCACCAUAAAUAGCAGAA